rnacentral:rRNA from 1 species
GACGAACGCUGGCGGCGUGCUUAACACAUGCAAGUCGAACGGAAAGGCCCUGCUUUUGUGGGGUGCUCGAGUGGCGAACGGGUGAGUAACACGUGAGUAACCUGCCCUUGACUUUGGGAUAACUUCAGGAAACUGGGGCUAAUACCGGAUAGGAGCUCCUGCUGCAUGGUGGGGGUUGGAAAGUUUCGGCGGUUGGGGAUGGACUCGCGGCUUAUCAGCUUGUUGGUGGGGUAGUGGCUUACCAAGGCUUUGACGGGUAGCCGGCCUGAGAGGGUGACCGGCAACAUUGGGACUGAGAUACGGCCCAGACUCCUACGGGAGGCAGCAGUGGGGAAUAUUGCACAAUGGGCGGAAGCCUGAUGCAGCAACGCCGCGUGCGGGAUGACGGCCUUCGGGUUGUAAACCGCUUUCGCCUGUGACGAAGCGUGAGGGACGGUAAUGGGUAAAGAAGCACCGGCUACUACGUG